UCAAGUUACUAAGAGUGUAUGGGGGAUGUCUAGGUGUCGAGAGGCGACGAAGGACGUGAUAGGCUGCGAUAAGCCCGGGGCAGGUGCCUAAUAACCGUUAAUCCCGGGAUGUCCGAAUGGGGCAACCCAGCAGUGCAGGGCAACCUGACACUGUUAUCCAUGGCUGAAUUCAUAGGCCAUGAGAAGCUAACGCAGGGAACUGAAACAUCUAAGUACCUGCAGGAAAGGAAAUCAACCGAGACUCCGUAAGUAGCGGCGAGCGAAAGCGGAUAUAGCCCAAACCAACCUUCGGGUUGGGGUUGCGGGCGUUGAUAAGGAGUUACAAAGGCAUUGCCAGCCGAAUGUUCUGGAAAGAACAACCAUAGAAGGUGAUAGUCCUGUAUGCGACGGCAAGAGCCCUCCGUUAUUAUCGACGUACCAGAGUAGCACGGAGCUCGUGGAACUCCGUGUGAAGCAGGGGGGCCCACCCUCCAAGGCUAAGUACUACUCGACGACCGAUAGUGAAAAGUAGGGCGACCGAAAGAUGAAAAGUACCCCUAUUAGGGGAGUUAAAAGUACCUGAAACCAUACACUUACAAGCUGUAGGAGCCCUAUGGGUGAUCUUAGGAUCGCCAACGGGUGACUGCGUGCCUUUCGCAUAAUGAGCCGGCGAGUUACCGUUUGUGGCAAGGUUAAGCAUUUAAGGUGCGAAGCCGUAGCGAAAGCGAGUCUGAAUAGGGCGAUUUAGUCGCAGGUGGUAGACGCGAAACCAGGUGAUCUACCCAUGGCCAGGUGGAAGGGGAUGUAAAAAUCCCUGGACGACCGAACCCACUAACGUUGAAAAGUUAGGGGAUGAGCUGUGGGGAGGAGUAAAAGUCUAAUCAAACCUGGAGAUAUCUCGUUCUCUCCGAAAUAGCUUUAGGGCUAGCCUCGAGACAACUACCUUGCAGGGGUAGAGCUACUGAUUGGGGAUGGGGGGCCACCAGCCUACCCACUCCUACCAAACUCCGAAUACUGUAAGGACUAUCUCGGGAGUCAGUCCGCGGGCGAUAACGUUCGCGGUCAAGAGGGAAACAGCCCAGACCGCCAGCUAAGGUCCCUAAUUCAUGCUAAGUUACUAAGGAAGUCCGAUUGCUGUGACAAUCAGGAUGUUGGCUUAGAAGCAGCCACCAUUUAAAAAGUGCGUAAUAGCUUACUGAUCGAGCAGUUGGGUGCCGAUAAUGAACGGGAAUAAGCAUGAUACCGAAGCUGCGGAUGUAUCUGGUGUCAGACCGAGAGUCUUGAACCGAUUUUCCGUAAGGAAUUGUUAGAGAUAUGUAUUUUGAAGUAUGUGAUUAAGACGAUUUGUAUUUUGAAUCUUUUAGUUAUGUUGUUUUUUUGAGAUAUGUAUUUAGUAUUAUUAUGGAUAGUUCAGGAUUUUAGGUCUGAUACCAGGUACGUGGUAGGAGAGCGUAACUGUCAGCACUGAAGCGGUACGGAAACGAGCCGUGGAGCGGCAGUUAGUGAUUAUGCCGGCAUGAGUAACGAUAAAACAGGUGAGAAUCCUGUUCGCCGAAAACCUAAGGUUUCCUGGGGAAGGUAAAUCCGCCCAGGGUUAGUCGGCCCCUUAGUCGAGGCUGAAAGGCGUAGACGAUGGACAGCAGGUUAAUAUUCCUGCACCAUGUAUGGAAGGUUUGAACUGUGGGAGUGACGUAAUGAUGAAGUUGGGAAGCUGAUUAGUCGUGGCUAUUGUGCCUGCGGCGCCGUUGAUAGGCAAAUCCGUCAACAUAAAGGCGCCAAUGGACCGCGAAGGACGCUUUUGAUUCCUGAGCCAGUGGAUUCGUUACCAAGAAAAACUUCAAACAGGACGACCAUGCGUGACCGUACUAAAACUGACACAGGUAGGUGAGGAGAAUAUCCUCAGGCGCUCGAGAAAACCGUCCUUAAGGAACUCGGCAAAUUGACCCCGUAAGUUCGCGAUAAGGGGACCCUCCAGGCAUAUUUAUUUAUAGAUGUGUGCUGAGGGCACAGAAAAGUGGCUCUGGCGACUGUUUACCAAAAACACAGUUCUCUGCUAACACUUAAAGUGGAUGUAUAGAGAAUGACGCCUGCUCGGUGCCGGAAGGUUAAGGGGAUGGGUUAUUGUCUCUUCGGAGACGAGAAGCUCCUAACUGAAGCCCCGGUAAACGGCGGCCGUAACUAUGACGGUCCUAAGGUAGCGAAGUUCCUUGUCGGGUAAGUUCCGACGUGCAUGAACGGCGUAACGACUGGAGCACUGUCUCGAGGACGGACUCGGUGAAAUUGUAGAUGUGGUGAAGAUACCACAUACCCGCGGCAAGACGGAAAGACCCCGUGAACCUUUACUGUAGCCUGGUAUUGAUGCCUGGCAUACAUUGCGUAGGAUAGGUGGGAGGCUGUGAUCUGGC
rnacentral:rRNA from 1 species